UUGACCUCGGAUCAGGUAGGGAUACCCGCUGAACUUAAGCAUAUCAAUAAGCGGAGGAAAAGAAACCAACCGGGAUUGCCUCAGUAACGGCGAGUGAAGCGGCAAGAGCUCAAAUUUGAAAUCUGGCCCCUCCGGGGUCCGAGUUGUAAUUUGUAGAGGAUGCUUCGGGUGCGGCCCCCGUCUAAGUGCUCUGGAACGGGCCAUCGGAGAGGGUGAGAAUCCCGUCUGGGACGGGGUGUCCGCGUCCAUGUGAAGCUCCUUCGACGAGUCGAGUUGUUUGGGAAUGCAGCUCUAAAUGGGUGGUAAAUUUCAUCUAAAGCUAAAUACUGGCCGGAGACCGAUAGCGCACAAGUAGAGUGAUCGAAAGAUGAAAAGCACUUUGAAAAGAGAGUGAAACAGCACGUGAAAUUGUUGAAAGGGAAGCGCUUGCGACCAGACUCGCUUCCGGGGUUCAGCCGGCUUUCGGGCCGGUGUACUUCCCCGGGGGCGGGCCAGCGUCGGUUUGGGCGGCCGGUCAAAGGCCCCUGGAAUGUAACGCCUCUCGGGGCGCCUUAUAGCCAGGGGUGUCAUGCGGCCAGCCUGGACCGAGGAACGCGCU
rnacentral:rRNA from 1 species